AAAAGACUGAAGAUUUAGAUUCCAUGCCCUUGAGUGACAGCUGGCGGGUAUUAGAGAUCAGAAAUAAUGAACCUGAACACCGUUUUCUUUUCCCUUAAAUUUCUUACGUUCUUUCAUUGAAUUAUCUUAAUUCAUUUCAUAAAUUUUGACCAAGAUACAUGUCCAUUGGGAUUUAUUCUUUUGCUUACCUUGGUUCAAUGGGUAUUUACUGAAUUAACAUUGUUUUGCCUUCUUAUAGAUUCCAGGGGCUCAGCUCAUUAGUCUGUAUUUGAAUCUUCUACUAAAUGAAUCAAAGCUGCUUUGCAUUAAGGUAAGUAUUAUUAUCUUCGAACUCCUGCAACUGGAAUCAAAUCUCUUUUCUGGGGAGAAAAAAUAAAAGUCAGCAAUGAAAGCAAAAAUUGCUCUAAAAUGCAUUGAAACUACUCCAAAUACUAAUAAAUACACUGUAAUGAGGCAGGGAAAAUAUGUUGCACCAAUUGCAUAUGCAAUCCACAGGCCCUUAUCAUAUAAUCUUGAUCCAGAUUGCAUGUUUCUUAUUCCUAACUCAUUACAAAUCUUUUCUAUCUGAAUACCAAACCUUAUGGUAGCCAUGACACACUCCAAUGAACAUUCGGUCAUUUAUGAUCAGUAAAAAUGAUGUUUGCUAGUUACAAGUGUUCAACAAAGUGAUUUGCAUGUACUGAAUAUCACUAUAUCUAUAAUCAACAAGACGGAACUUACAAACCAGCUCAUGCCAUCAGAUAGAAAUGCUGUUGGGAAUACCACGGCCAGUUACCCCUGGACCUGAUGAGGGAAGAAGCAGUUCAUAUGGAGGGAUGCCGGCACCAUUUCUGUUUUUAAGGUGAAUAUUCUUAUUUCUUCCUUUUAUGAUCUCCUCUAUCUCCUCUAGUUUAGCAGAGAACUUCUUGAACAUGUCCAAGACUUCAGGAUCCUUGAUCCAGUGGCUGUGCAGAUGGUGUGUUUGACCCAGAUACUCUUCAUCUGGGGAGUGAGUGGACAGGGUGUCCUGAACAGCCAUCACUUUGGUGGCCUGAAGUUGCGUUGGCAAAGAUGAGAGGAAAGUUGACUGUGGGUUUAGAAGAAACUUCUCAUAGGCAGAAUCAUCUUCAUGAGGGAUGAGUUUUCUCAUGAGGGUAGGACGGUUAGGCACAUAUCCUCCAAAGGGGUAUUGCCCAAAGUUUAUUGCAGCAUGUUGACCUGAAGCUAUCCAUAUCAUUGUAGUAAGUAUGCCAGAUAAGUGCUCUUUAGUGUUGAGCUUAGGCCACCAGGACUCAUUACGCUUGUCAUAGUGACCCUCAUUUUUGAUCUCGUUCCACCAGGCUUGGAGCUCCAAAUCAGAUGUGACAGUGUUAGGCUCAGAAUAGAAGUGAUCAACAUACGAUUCUACCCAUUCUUUUAUGGCAGACCAUAUUAGGAGCCCAUCUGCAGCAUAAGGGUAGUCUUCAAUCAAGAGUUUAACACCACAUGGCAUUGAAGGAUCCUCCACCGCCAUGCCCCUGAAAAUUUAAUCAUGAGUACAAUCAAAACCUGGUAGAUUUACUCAUACAAGAAGGCCCACAGUGAUCUUAAAGAUGGAGGAAGUUGGAAAGUGGUGUAUCCCUUGAACUAGGUAGAUAAGCAAACUGAAAUUGGGGCUUGAAAAUUAAGGAUUUGAAGACAUUGGAAUGGCUAAGAAUCCUUACCUCCGAAUUAAAUCUGCUGGCAGUGCCUCCAUGUCAAAUUGCCACAUACUCUUGUAUGCAGCAGAGCUUAGCUCCAUGGCAUACUUUCCCGGGCUGAAACAAGCCUCAAUAAUUCCCCCUCCAUUUAUUAAACUUUGUCGUGCUAGUGCAUUUAUUUCUAAUGUGUAGCGCAAAUGAGGGCGGAGCAGCUUGUUAAUGGGGUGCAUUGCACUAAGCUGCCUAUGAGUGGCAAUUAUAUAAGGCUCCAUGCAAGCAUGAGUCCUCAACCUGAAAAUCUCAAAUCAUCAACACAUUAGAUGAGUACAAAUCCUUCUUUUACUAGACAAGCAGUCAAAUGUGUGUGCAUGAUCCCAUGUUUUCUUCUUAAAAAGGUUUCAAAUUUCAGUUUCAAGUUUCAACACUUCCAGUCUAGGUCAAAAUUAAACCAAAGUCAUAAAACUAUCAAUACUUGGUUGAACAUGGGACAAUUUCACAUUCAAAAUAAGAAAACUCUGCAGUGAAAAGCUAAAUGGCUCAAAGUUGAUCCAAAAUGAAAAUUUGGAAGUUUCAUUAGAAACCAUAGUUAUCUGUCUUACCAGUGAUUCACUAGUUGAUGAACACCAGCAUCAUUCGAGCAAACAUGAGCUUUUGCUUGCUUCCAAAUCCAAUGGGUUGUAGCAUCAUGUCCAUGGGUGUAAACACGCUUCUUACCAGGUGAAGAAGGUGUUGGAGGAAGUGAGAGCUCAAUAGCAAUUGGCCUCAAAAAGCCGGUCCGUGUAUAGAAGAAAACUGUUCUAGACGCAUAUGCUUGCCUCUCUGGUAAGGUGUUCAUCUUCCCAAUAAAUGGUAAAAGCAUAUCGUGGUAAUCAAGUAUAAACAAUCUCUUGUCCUCAAUAGCCUGUAUAAUUAAUUAUCAGAUAGGCAGAGUUAAAAAAUAGUUAUGUAUGUACUGGGCCAAGUGCCUGUGUUUCAUUGUUGGGGGAAGAGAAGAAGAAUGCUCUUUUUCAACCAAAAUUUCACACUUGUAUGUUUCUUUACAGUGACCAGUUGGAUGUUUUGAAGAGGAAAUGUUGGAGAGAGAAGGGAAAUAUCAAUGGAAAAUGCUUGGCUAACUGCUGAAUUGUACUCAAAACCCUUUGUUGUAAUAAGGAUACUUAGAUUGAAAACCAAUAACAAUGACAGUUUGGUCAUUUUGAUGGCAAGGCAAGAAGUGAGAAGUUG
rnacentral:lncRNA from 1 species